GGGGGUAUAGCUCAGGGGGUAGAGCAAUUGACUGCAAAUCAAGAGGUCCCGGUUCAAAUCCGGGUGCCCCCU
rnacentral:ncRNA from 8 species